rnacentral:lncRNA from 1 species
GUUGGAGGGAAUGGAAUCAACCCAACUCCAUUUGGCUCCUUGCUGAACUAAAGACAUCAGAGUUUUAAAUAUCACUGGGCAGUUGAUACAGUAGAAAAACACACACACACACCAAAUCUCAUAUAAGGAUUCAAGUAUAGGGGCUAUCUGAACAAACUGGUUUUCUAUAUAAUCAUUUAAGGAAUGUUUGGUUUUAUAUAUAGAAUCAGCUAGGACAAGGAUUUUAUUUAGUUGUAUUACAUGUAAAUGAUUUACGAUUGGAAAUUUCCAGUUCUUACCACUCCCCAUCUUUCUAGAAGAUUAUACCAAUGAACUCUGAGGUGUAAGGGAAUCUUGCAAGC